CGGACGGGUGAGUAAUGUCUGGGAAACUGCCUGAUGGAGGGGGGUAACUACUGGAAACGGUAGCUAAUACCGCAUAACGUCGCAAGACCAAAGAGGGGGACCUUGGGGCCUCUUGCCAUCGGAUGUGCCCAGAUGGGAUUAGCUAGUAGGUGGGGUAACGGCUCACCUAGGCGACGAUCCCUAGCUGGUCUGAGAGGAUGACCAGCCACACUGGAACUGAGACACGGUCCAG
rnacentral:rRNA from 1 species